rnacentral:tRNA from 1 species
GCCUGGGUGGCUCAGUCGGUUGAGCGUCCGACUUCGGCUCCGGUCAUGAUCUCACAGUCUGUGAGUUCGAGCCCCGCAUCGGGCU